UGUGAAUUCCCACAGGGGUCUGUCCUGGGUUUGGUACUAUUCAAUAUUUUCAUUAAUGACUUGGAUAAUGGAGUGGAAAUUAUGCUUACAAAAUUUGUGGAUGAUGGCAAAAUGGGAGGGGUUGCUGGCACUUUGGAAGACAGGAUUAGAA